GAUGAACGCUAGCGGCAGGCUUAAUACAUGCAAGUCGUGGGGCAGCAUGAAGUAGCAAUACUUUGAUGGCGACCGGCAAACGGGUGCGGAACACGUACACAACCUUCCUUUUAGUGGGGAAUAGCCCAGAGAAAUUUGGAUUAAUACCCCGUAACAUAGCGAUGUGGCAUCACAUUGCUAUUAUAGCUUCGGCGCUAGAUGAUGGGUGUGCGUAUGAUUAGAUGGUUGGCGAGGUAACGGCUCACAAAGUCUACGAUCAUUAGCUGAUGUGAGAGCAUGAUCAGCCACACGGGCACUGAGACACGGGCCCGACUCCUACGGGAGGCAGCAGUAAGGAAUAUUGGUCAAUGGACGAAAGUUUGAACCAGCCAUGCCGCGUGAAGGAUUAAGGUCCUCUGGAUUGUAAACUUCUUUUAUAUGGGACGAAAAAAGGUCUUUCUAGAUCACUUGACGGUACCUUAUGAAUAAGCACCGGCUAACUCCGUGCCAGCCGCCGCGGUAACAC
rnacentral:rRNA from 1 species